UACGUAGGUGGCAAGCGUUGUCCGGAAUCAUUGGGCGUAAAGCGCGCGUAGGCGGCCCUGUAAGUCCGUUGUGAAAGUCAAAGGCUCAACCUUUGAAAGCCGAUGGAUACUGCAGGGCUAGAGUCCGGAAGAGGCGAGUGGAAUUCCUGGUGUAGCGGUGGAAUGCGCAGAUAUCAGGAGGAACACCAAUAGCGAAGGCAGCUCGCUGGGACGGUACUGACGCUAAGGCGCGAAAGCGUGGGGAGCGAACGAGGA
rnacentral:rRNA from 1 species